rnacentral:misc_RNA from 1 species
GAAAAAACUUCCGAAACGAAGGGGACUAAACAGGAACAAGAGGGAUCCACCGAAGAAGAUCCUUCUUCUUCCCUUUUUUCGGAAGAAAAGGAGGAUCCGGACAAUCGACGAAACGGAAGAGAUCCAAGUGAAUGGAAAGGAAAAAACAAAGGAUGAAUUCCAUUUUCACUUUAAAGAGACAUGCUAUAAAAAUAGACCAC